GACGAACGCUGGCGGCGUGCCUAAUACGUGCAAGUAGAACGCUGAAGAGAGGAGCUUGCUCUUCUUGGAUGAGUUGCGAACGGGUGAGUAACGCGUAGGUAACCUGCCUUGUAGCGGGGGAUAACUAUUGGAAACGAUAGCUAAUACCGCAUAACAAUGAAUGACACAUGUCAUUUAUUUGAAAGGGGCAAUUGCUCCACUACAAGAUGGACCUGCGUUGUAUUAGCUAGUAGGUGAGGUAACGGCUCACCUAGGCGACGAUACAUAGCCGACCUGAGAGGGUGAUCGGCCACACUGGGACUGAGACACGGCCCAGACUCCUACGGGAGGCAGCAGUAGGGAAUCUUCGGCAAUGGGGGCAACCCUGACCGAGCAACGCCGCGUGAGUGAAGAAGGUUUUCGGAUCGUAAAGCUCUGUUGUAAGUCAAGAACGAGUGUGAGAGUGGAAAGUUCACACUGUGACGGUAGCUUACCAGAAAGGGACGGCUAACUACGUGCCAGCAGCCGCGGUAAUACGUAGGUCCCGAGCGUUGUCCGGAUUUAUUGGGCGUAAAGCGAGCGCAGGCGGUUUGAUAAGUCUGAAGUUAAAGGCUGUGGCUCAACCAUAGUUCGCUUUGGAAACUGUCAAACUUGAGUGCAGAAGGGGAGAGUGGAAUUCCAUGUGUAGCGGUGAAAUGCGUAGAUAUAUGGAGGAACACCGGUGGCGAAAGCGGCUCUCUGGUCUGUAACUGACGCUGAGGCUCGAAAGCGUGGGGAGCGAACAGG
rnacentral:rRNA from 1 species